GAGCAGCAGGGGCAGCCCCACCGCAAUGCACGUGACCAUCUUGUCCACAGCCAGCUCCAGUCGCAGCCCCUUGAACUUGGGCUCCGUGGGCUCCUUCAGCAAGAAAUCCGAGAACACGUACUCCGUGGCCAGGUGGUCGCUGACCUGGCAGGUUAUCAUCCACUUCCCAGGAUUCUCAGCUAUCAUUUCUGUUGUAAGGAAGGUGGCUGGGAACAGGUUGACGACAUCAGUCCGAUGCCCUCUGCUGAUGAAGGUGUUACCAUAGAAAUAGAUAGAAUGGAUGUCUAUUUCAUUCCCCAUUCCAAAUAGGUGCCAGGACACAGAUUCUCCAACACACAUAUCAGGCUCCGGGAAGUUUCCGAAGAGGUAUCCAUUGAGGGCUGGAAACAGAAACACACUAGUGGAAGAGACUCUGCUGCAGAGGCGACUGGGACCAGAAAUGUUGAGAAAACACUCAAUAAAAGUGAAGAUCAGCAUACACUGAGAACAGCCUCGGAGCUGCUGUGGGAACGCAAUAUGAGGUCAGGAGAAAACAGAGUGCUGCUCAUAUUUACAGGAGGCUCAGUCACCUUCUGUCAUAAUCCUUCACUGGCAUAUCUGCUGUCUCCACCAGAUUCUGUGCUCCUUGGAACUAGAAACCCUGUCUUGUUCAUCUUAACAGUUAUCAGGACCUAGCAGAAAAACUGGCACAUAGUAUCUACUUAAUGAAGUGACAAAAGCAUGUAGUAAGAUGGAAAGAAAAGGAAUUGAUUAAAAGGAAUUUAUGAGAACUGUUUUGUUUGUUUGUUUACUUUAAAAAGCCAAGAGAAAAACAGUUUUUACUACAUGUUGCUGGAGCAGAAUCUUAUUAAGUUUAUGGUGUAAAUCCAGGACCAAAUACUUUAAAACCAUCUAAAUGGCAGCUGGGAGUUGACCAAGUUCAGAAAAGAACUUGAUUCGGGGCUUUAAAAAGUCACAAUAUCCCUUCUUAAGUUCGAACUGAGUUAAAAGCAAUUGUUGCUGAAAUGCCUGAUGACUUAGGCAGCACAAUUAAUUCUAAAUUAUUUUAGUAAAUUUAAAUAAAUUGAUCAAUAAAACUUGUACAUAUUAAUUAUCUUCCAUAGUCUAGAUUUUUUUAAUUAAAUUUUUUCCUUUACUUGAUUAGGUCUCUUUUUCCAGUCUCUCUCUCUUUUUUUUCUUUUGAGAUGGAGUCUCGCUCUGUCACACCCAGGCUGAAGUGCAGUGGCACAAUCUCAGCUCACUGCAACCUCUGUCUCCUGGGUUCAAAAGAUUCUUGUGCCUCAGCCUCCCCAGUAGCUGAGAUUACAGGUGCCCACCACCAUGACCAGCUAAUUUUUGUAUUUUUAGUAGAGACAGGUUUUGCCAUGUUGGCCAGGCUGGUCUUGAACUCCUGGCCUCAAGUGAUCCUCCCACCUUGGCCUCCCAAAGUGCUGGGAUUACAGGCGUGUGCCACAAUACCCCACCCUUUUCCACUCUUGAAGGAUUGUUUGAAAACACACAUCUACUUCAGCAUACAGGCUAGGGUUUUUUGUUUUUGUUUUUUGAGACAGGGUCUUGCUCUGUCACCCAGGCUGGGGUGCAGUGGCACUUAGUUCACUGCAGCCUAAAACUCCCGGGCUAAUGCAAUCCUCUGACCUCAGCAUCACAAGUAGGUGGGACCACAGGCAUGUGCCACUAUGCCCAGCUGAUUUUUUUUUGUUGUUUGUUUGAAUUUUUUGUAGAUAACGGAUCUCCCUAUGUUGCCCAGGCUGGUGAACUUCUGGCCUCAAGCAAUCCUCCCACACCUGCUUCUCAAAGUGCUGGGAUUAUAGGCAUGAGCCAUUGUGCCUGGACAGGCUUCUUUUUAUGAUACAUGUAAUCUAUGUUUGCUUAUGUAAUUCAUUUCAUUUUGUUGGACAUUUUCACUUCAAAAGAAUAAAUACAGAGUAAGAGGAAUUAUUUGGGCAGGUGAGUCUUAAGUAAUCACAAUUAGUAGUUUUCUACAAUAUUUGAGAUCAUCACUCCCAUUUUGUAAAGGAUAUGCAUUACAACUGGUCACAGCAAUGAUUUGAAUUUAUGUCUUCAUUGACUCCAUCCUUCAUUGUUUUCUCUGCCUCCCUGCCUUCCCCUUUCCUUCUCUCUCUUACUUCCUUUCCUCCUAAAAUAUUUUCCAAGAAUCACUACACAUAAGGUUGCCAAAAUACCACUAGAAGGAAAAGAGAAGGCAUGCAAUACAAUGGAAAUAAUCAAUGUACUGACAAUCAUGCCUUCAUGUGCCUAGGAAUCAAACACAGCCAAAUUUACAUUUAUUUGCUAUGGGACUUCUCUCAGGAAACUCUCUGGCAUUAAUUAUCACUUUGACCUUAGGCAAGUCAUUGAUAGUCUCUUGACCUCAGUUUCUCUUCUGUAAAAUGGAGACGUUAGAUGAUCUUCAGCUCCUUCUAUUUCUCUUAUGAUUUUGUGACUAUAUUGAGGAUACCUUGGUUAGAACAAUUCUGAGAGACAGAGAAGCAAUAGAAGGAGAAGAUAUGUCAAUGAAUAAGGUGGGAUAUGUAGGUUGACUAUUUCCUUUAUGUUCACUAGAACUCUCUAAGAAAAUCCUAAAAUGCUACAUUAAGCUACUGCUUUGCAAAACAGGCAUGAGUAAGUGCCCCAUCUCAACUAAUGAAGUAACUAUAGAAGUUCACUAUUUUGAACAAAUAUGGAGUCUGAUGUAUAGUGCAUGCUCAGUAAAUUUUGUUGAUGUAAAGAAUGUCUGGGAAAUAUAAUGAAUUCACAAGUGCUUAUUUAAACCCCAUGCAUAACUCAGUUCUUAAAAUUUAUCAGCGGCUCAGAAAAUGGUUACUGGAUGAAGCAAAAUGUUGCAAAACACAGGAUUAUUAUAGAACGAUGAUUUCAUUCUCCUUUCUCCUUCCAGUCAGUCUAAGCCCACCCAUGCUCUGGGCUCACCUCAGGCACCAAUUCUUUUCCAAUUACAAUAUAACAUUGAUCCCUCCAUUUUCCCAAAGCUCUGUGGCUUUGUCCACACUGCAUGCCCAAUUUAGCAUGUAUCCACUGCUUUGUCCCCCUCAGAUUGUUUCAGGUUCAAACAUGUGUCAUGUAUUGUAUCACUUUCUAACCAUGGUCAUCCCUGAGUUAUAAAUCAUGCCAAACUCA